rnacentral:tRNA from 1 species
GCAGUCAUGGCCGACUAAUUAAGGUGAUGGCCUAGAAAUCCACUGGGGUCUCCCCACAUAGGUUCGAAUUCUGUCGACUGCG